GUAAACAAUACACCACUGAAAAUCUGUUUUACACGAAACUAAUGAAUAAAAUAGUAGAGCUGCAUCAUCUAGUCUAGCUAGACUCAAGAUUUAUAUCUAGACUAGAUCACCAGAUUAGAUAGUAAUUCAUGUGAGAACUCAGAGGACAUCAUUAAUGAUGAAUCAUCAAGAAGUUGAAAACGAGCUCAGAUUUCUAAUGCAAUGGCGCAACAAUGGAAUCUCAUUUAUACCAGGAUCACCAGGCGUAGAGAUGUUAAAUGCUUGCAGUAAAAUGCUACUUAAUGCUUCAGAUAAAAUUUUGAAUGAUCCCAACAUUAACAUUGGAAAUUUAUUCAAAUAUGGAGAGAAUCAAGGGGAUCAAGAAUUUCGAGAAAACCUCGCACAUUUUUUGACAGAUGAAUAUGGGGAUGAUGU
rnacentral:sRNA from 1 species